AGCAGAAUACAAGAUUUACCCCUAUGAAGCGCUCAUUGUCACCACCAGAGGUCGCAAUAGGCUGCCCAAAGAUGUAGACAGAGCCAGGCUGGAGCGUCACCUUUCCCCAGAGGAGUUUACCCAAGUGUUUGGCAUGACCAUGGAAGAUUUUGACCGGCUGGCUCUGUGGAAGAGAAAUGAGCUCAAGAAACAGGCCCGACUUUUUUAAUAACAUAU